ACCUACGGGGCGCAGCAGUGAGGAAUAUUGGUCAAUGGGCGGAAGCCUGAACCAACCAAGUCGCGUGAGGGAAGAAGGCCCUGCGGGUCGCAGACCUCUUUGGACGGGGAGCAAGGCCGCCGACGUGUCGGCGGAAGGAGAGUACCCGUAGAACAAGCAUCGGCUAACUCCGUGCCAGCAGCCGCGGUAAUACGGAGGAUGCGAGUGUUAUCCGGAUUUAUUGGGCGUAAAGCGCUCGUAGGCGGUAUGUCAAGUCAAGGGUGAAAUCCCCGCGCGCAACGUGGGAACUGCCUUUGAAACUGGCA
rnacentral:rRNA from 1 species